rnacentral:rRNA from 1 species
AACGUAGGACGCAAGCGUUAUCCGGAGUUACUGGGCGUAAAGCGCGGGCAGGCGGUGAUUUAAGUCUGAUGUGAAAGCUCCCGGCUCAACCGGGAGAGGCCAUUGGAAACUAAAUCGCUGGAGGGCAGUAGAGGUAGGCGGAAUUCCGGGUGGAGUGGUGAAAUGCGUAGAGAUCCGGAGGAACACCAGAGGCGAAGGCGGCCUACUGGGCUGCACCUGACGCUGAGCCGCGAAAGCCAGGGGAGCGAACGGG